CACGUAGGGGGCAAGCGUUGUCCGGAUUCAUUGGGCGUAAAGAGCUCGUAGGCGGCUCGGCAAGUCGGGUGUGAAACCUCCAGGCUCAACCUGGAGACGCCACUCGAUACUGCUGUGGCUAGAGUCCAGUAGGGGAGCGUGGAAUUCCUGGUGUAGCGGUGAAAUGCGCAGAUAUCAGGAGGAACACCGGUGGCGAAGGCGCCACUCUGGGCCGAAACUGACGCUGAGGAGCGAAAGCGUGGGUAGCAAACAGG
rnacentral:rRNA from 1 species